GACGAACGCUGGCGGCGUGCCUAAUACAUGCAAGUAGAACGCUGAAGGAGGAGCUUGCUUCUCUGGAUGAGUUGCGAACGGGUGAGUAACGCGUAGGUAACCUGCCUGGUAGCGGGGGAUAACUAUUGGAAACGAUAGCUAAUACCGCAUAAUAGCAGUUGUUGCAUGAUAACUGUUUGAAAGGUGCAAUUGCACCACUACCAGAUGGACCUGCGUUGUAUUAGCUAGUUGGUGGGGUAACGGCUCACCAAGGCGACGAUACAUAGCCGACCUGAGAGGGUGAUCGGCCACACUGGGACUGAGACACGGCCCAGACUCCUACGGGAGGCAGCAGUAGGGAAUCUUCGGCAAUGGACGGAAGUCUGACCGAGCAACGCCGCGUGAGUGAAGAAGGUUUUCGGAUCGUAAAGCUCUGUUGUAAGAGAAGAACGAGUGUGAGAGUGGAAAGUUCACACUGUGACGGUAGCUUACCAGAAAGGGACGGCUAACUACGUG
rnacentral:rRNA from 1 species